UACGAAGGGGGCUAGCGUUGUUCGGAAUUACUGGGCGUAAAGCGCGCGCAGGCGGUUCUCCAAGUCAGUGGUGAAAGCCCGGAGCUCAACUCCGGAACUGCCAUUGAAACUGUUGAACUUGAGGACGAGAGAGGUGAGUGGAAUUCCCAGUGUAGAGGUGAAAUUCGUAGAUAUUGGGAAGAACACCAGUGGCGAAGGCGGCCUUCUGGACAGUGACUGACGCUGAGACGCGAAAGCGUGGGGAGCAAACAGG
rnacentral:rRNA from 1 species